ensembl:lncRNA
GUAAAAGGCAGAGGGGUCUUUGCGGCCAGGGAGCAGCGGGCAAGGGGCUAAGGGGAGGGGGGCCCAGUGCCAGCUGUUUAAAAGUGCCCCUGUGGCAGUGGCAGUGAGGGGUGCCAGAGGUCCAGUGAAGUUAGUUGAGAAGCAGUGAUACCUCCAACCAUUCCCCAAAUGGGCUGGCCCAUGUCUCCAGGCCACAAGGAGCCACACCUGGAUGGACCCCGAGAGAGGUAAGAACCAGUGGCAGACAGGGGUCUGUGAGUCUAGUUGUGUGUAUGUGUUGUGUGUGUGAGGGGGGUCUCUGUGGUAUCCUCCUCCCCCGGGAGACCCCGGGGGAUGCUGCGUCGGGGUUCUGAUCCUUGCUCUCUUGCUAACCCCCUCUGGGCCUCAGUUUCCUCAUCUGUGCAGAGCCUGGACUGGAUGAUCUCUAUGCGUGCAUCUUGCCCUGACCAGAUGUGCAGAUCUGUGAUCCUGUUGGCUAUGGGGACUCCUUGUGGCUGUGGUUAAAUGCAGGGGGUGGGAGCAGAGGGAGGGGAUGGCGUUGAUGUCCCACCACCUGAGCAUCACCGCUGUACCCGAGUCUGGGCCUGUCUUGCUGACUUCGCUAUAGACAAUGCUUCUUCCUUGUCUAUGAGGUUUGAUUUCUCAGCCCUAAGAGCCUGGGGCUCCUGGCAAGUAAAAUUGUUUUCAAAUAAUGAUUUCAAGAAACAAAGCUGUUGGAGAAGCUAUGUCAGCUCAGGUUCCAGCAGACAGGCAGUGAGGCGGGAAGGCCAGGGUGUUGGCUGAGAGGCAGCAGUGGGUAGGGCACACUGGCUGGGGGAUGGGGGCGCAGGCUCCAGCCUCAGCUCUGCUUCUCACUGCCUGGUCCUGUGGCCCCAGGCAGACACCCUACCCUCUCUGGGUUGCAGUUUCCCAUCUGUACUGUCAGGCCAUCAGACAACACAGUCUCUGUGCUUCUGAGGAUGUGGCUUUAGAGCCCUGUUUGAGCCUAGAGGGCAGCUGAUGUUGGGAAGUUUCCCCAGGAGGCCCUGAGCUGAGUCUGCCAUUUGACAACAGGUUUAGAGGCCAAGCUGACACCUGGAGCCUGGGAUGUUCUUGGAGGUUGAGCCUCAGGAGGUGGAAAGAGCUGAAGCAUCUCUGACUGCAGGCUUGACCAAGGGAAGGGUCAGCCCACAGCCCCGAGACCUCAGGAUGAGCCUGCCCCGAGGCAGCCUCUGCUGGGGAAGGUGCUGGUCUCUAAAUUCAGUGUACUAAGGGUUCAGGAUCUUGGAGGGAGAUGGGGACAGCAGAGAGUUCCAGUGAGGUGAGGUGGUGGAGCCAGGGGAUUCAGAGGAAAGCAGAGGACUUGCAAUGGGGAACGUGGGAGGCAGGGCUGGAAGACACGGCUCUUCUGAGUAUGCUCUGGCCACAUCUAGGGCCCAGAAUGGACACAGUCCUACAGUGUCAGCCUGCCCAGCACUUUCACCUCCCACUAAAAGCAGACUCUGGAACCAGUUGCCUGGGUCCAAUUCUGGCUUGUUUUUACUUACAGAACACAUGACCUUGGGCAAGUCACUUGCCUUCUCUGAGCCUCAGCUUCCUCUUCUAUAGAACAGCUAUGGUCUCUGUUCUGACCUCACUUGGCUGUCCUAAAGCGUAAGGGACAUAUGUACCUAAGAGCAAGCUCCUUUGUCCAUGGGAUUUUCCAGGUCAGAAUACUGGAGUGGGUUGCCAUUUCCUCCUUUAGGGGAUCUCCCCAAUCCAAGGAUCGAACCCACAUCUCCCAUGUCUCCUCCAUUGCAGGCAAAUUCUUUACCUGCUAAACUAUCGGGGAAGCCUAAAAGCAGAAUAAAUGGGGCUCAUGUUCAUUACGUUUGGACCCUAGUCCUGUUGUGAAGCAAGAUGACCUUAGCUAUGUUUAGAGAGAAGUGAGAGUGAGGACUGGCCAGGGAGCACCCUAAAUUGCUGAAGACAGAACAGGGUCUGGAAAGAAGCAAGAGGGGUAAGUUCAGAGGUCAGAGGUUACAAGGCACAGGAGAGGGUCAGCUUGAAAUGUGUAAAGGGCUAGGUGAAGUCUCAUUUUCUGCAUAUAUAAUAGGGCCUUCUGUGGGUCAUGUGUCCCAAAGUGUGGUGUCUGAAGCACUGCACACUCAUCAGCUGACAGGGAAUCCUGGCUCUGGCAGGAAGCUGCACUCCAGCCUCUCCAGGAAACACCAGGUGUAUGGAGUUUGGAGAAUUCUGUGCUGUCAAGUAGCCUGAGGCCCUUACAAACACAGUCGAGGUCACUGAAUCCAGAAGAAGAGAAGACUGCUUUAGGUCACACAGAGAGCUGAUGGCAGAGCACAACAAGCCUCUGCCAGCAAGGUGGCGCGGACAGGAGAACCACACUGCGAUUGCCUUUACACAAACUACAGUCAUGCACAGCAACCCUGCAAGGCAGGGGCAACAAUUAGCCCUGUUGCACAGACAAGGACACUGAGAAAGAGAGGUUAAGUAGCUUACAUAAGGUCACACAGCCGGUGAACUACUACACCUGGACAUGGUAUGUCUAUCCGCUGCUCCUGCCCCUUUGUCCCCAGAGGUCUCCUACCUCCUGCCCUGCUCCUUGGACACCACACUCCAUAACUUCCUGGGGACCCUCCAAAGCACCUCAUGAAUAUGUACAGGGAAUCUCCCCUCUCUUGCAUUAUCACUUAAUCCUCCCAGGAUUACCCUUGGGCAGGAUCAGCAUCAUUCCACCAUCCUAAUCCAUAUGGAAAAAAACCACUCGAGCUUACCCAAAGUCACACAGCUAGAACUGGCGGAAGGGGUUUGAACCCACUCUGCAAAAUGCGUGCUUGUAGUCUGCCCACCAGGACCCCUCUGAGUGCAGGGAUGAGGAAUCCCACUUCUCGAGGAGACCGAGGCUAAGCGGGUGACCACACCAGAGUUUGAAUCUGAGUCUUCUAGUUCCAAGCCCAUCGCUCUUCCUUUAGCUCCACCACUGCCAAAACAGAAAAGAGUCUGCUUGUCAUUGGUCCCUAGGAGCCACAGGACAGCUCUUUGGGCAAAGUCAGCCCUUUCCCAGGCUGGCUUGUGCCAGGGAACAGCUGACACACACACAGCCCCGAGGAAUACAAAGCUCCAGUCCCGGUGCCACCCCUGACCCGUGGGGCUGUCUUAUUCACUGUGUGAGCCCUGAGGGUGGGAGGAGACAGCCUCUGAGGUCCUCAUCUCCAGGCUAUGCCUGGGCCCUGCCUCAACAGUGAUUUCCCAACUAAACAAGCCCUGGGGCUCAGGGCCUUGGGUUGUGCAAAGGAUCAUGAUAAAGCUUUUUCCAAUUGUGGUUAUUAUGACCAUUUUUGUCCAUGUCUCCUGGGGCACAUGAGCCAGAGUUUCUCUGGGAUUCAUAUUUAGAGAUGGAUUGCUAGGUUCUGGUGUGCAUGACUAUCAACAUCACAGGAAAGCACCAGAUUAUUUUCUAAAGUGGCCAAUCCAUGUCACAGCUUCCACCAGCAGUACAGUAUGUGAGCAGUCCCUUCCUUGACAAGCCUUGAAAUUACCUGAAUUCUUGUUAUAUACUUUGUUCUUAUUGAAUUUGUAUAAUUAAGAAGGAAGAAACAGAAAUGCUUUAAUGCUACUGUCCACAUGGGUAUUUAGAAACUUGCCCUACAUGCACCAAGUUGCAGGGCAGCCUGCAGGCCCCGGAGUAGGGGUGGGCACAGCCCACAUGGCCCUCCCCCAGCCCAGCAGUACACAGGGGCCUCGGGCCAAUCGGAGAUUGCCUGCGAUAGUCUGCAGGAAUUUGGGGUGGGGAAAGAGCCCACGUGUCUGCCACCUCCUAACGGCCUGUCUAGACAACCCUGGCCCCACGGGGCUUCACCACACAUGGUGAAACCCCACAGAGACCGGCCCCCUCCCUUCUUGCAAAAGAGGCUUGUUGGCAACAGUGCUUCAUCACCAGAAACCUUUUCUCCAAUUCAAAACAGGAAUGCACCGCAUGAGUCACCCACUCUCGUGGCCCAUCAAUCACCCACUCAUCAGGCCCCUUUUUGUUUGGAUGAGAAAACAGAGGCUGACUCUGGAGCCAGGGACCUUUCCAGUGUGGGCUGAAUGAAUCCCCAUGCCCAGGUGAUAAGGGGACCAGGCGGGUCAGAGCACUGCUUGAGUGAGCUAAGAUGCAGCAAGCAGUUCAGUUCAGUUCAGUCACUCAGUCAUAUCCAACUCUUUGCGACCCCAUGGACUGCAGGCUUCCCUGUCCAUCAUGAACUCCGGGAGCUUGCUCAAACUCAUGUCCAUUGAGUCAGUGAAGUCAUCCAACCAUCUCAUCCUCUGUCAUCCCCUUCUCCCACCUUCAAUCAUUUCCAGCAUCAGGGUUUUUUCAAAUAAGUCAGUUCUUCACAUCAGGUGGCCAAAGUACUAGAGUUUCAACUUCAGCGUCAGUCCUUCCAAUGAAUAUUCAGGACUGAUUUUCUUUUGGAUGAACUGGUUGGAUCUCCUUGCAGUCCAAGGGACUCUCAAGAGUCUUCUCCAACACCACAGUUCAAGAUGCAGCAGGCUGGCCAUUAAAGGUGCCAGAGAGGAGUCAGGCUGCUUGGGUUUGCAUCUCAGAUCUGCCCCAUAACAGCUGUGUGACCUUGGGCAAGGUAAGAGUACCAGCCUCAUUAGGUUAUUGAAUCAUCUGGAUUAAAUGAGUUACAACUCAUGAAGUCCUUAGAUCAGUGACUGGCACAUAGUACUCAAUAAAUAAAUAACUGUCCAAAUGUGAUGACAAAAGGCAGUUUCUUUAAGAGGGAGGAGGUGCCAUAUGAAGCCCCAACUCCACCCUCCACCUAGGGGGAUAAUCUACUCUUGCUCCUUCAGAAAUAACAAUAACUAUAUAUCAAGUCUUCCCAAGCAGCCAGCUCUCCACCCAGCACUCUCUGAAGUAAAUACCAUGAUCCCUCUGGAAAGCCAGAGGCUCAGAGAGAUUGAGUGUCAUUUGCCCAAAGUCACACAGCUUUAUAUAAGGCUCAGCUGGGGCUCAAACCCAGGUCUGGCUGACUCCAGAACCCAUGCACAGAAACCCUAGCACUGUCCUAACUAGUCUGUGAGCAAAAGCUACUUCUGGUUGUACUCGUCUAGUAGGAAAACUCUUGGCAUUUAGGAAGGGGGCUAUUUGAAGAAUGAUGCCUUAGUAAGAUAAAAACAGAGCCCCCCUUUCCCAUCCCCAUGCUCGCUCAGGGGCAAAAAAUUUCAGACAAUACUUCUCACCGGUGAGCAUAUCUUUCUGUGGGCUGAGUGCCCUCAGGGCCUGGUCAGUCCUGGGCUGCCCCUGAUUGGCACAGCUCAUUGGUGCUUUGAGGAGGAAGCCGCCUCACUCCUGCACAUCCCUGAGAGCGCACAUUCUACCCACACGCCUAGGUGCCCUCCUGUGAGGUCCUCCUCUGACCCAAGCGACGCUCCGAGGAAAAUGGAAAACACACUGGACACUGCAAGCUUGGCAGGGACACUGCUCGACUGCCACUAGCUUCCGCCUCUACCCUCCUCCUCCUUCAGGGAAACAGCUCAGGUUGAAGUGUUCAGAGGCAGGCUGCCGCCUUGGGAGGCCAUCCAUAGUGGCCAUGACAUCACCCUGGCAGGGCUGCUGGGCUCCGGGGCCACUGAUCAGUCUGCCCAGGGCCUGCUGGACCUCAGGCAUAUGACCCCAACAACCCCACUGUGUCUGAGGGCAUCUGAUGAGAUAAACUGAACAAGAUGGGGAGAAAGGGAAAGAAACAGGCUAAGACGCUGGCCCUGGCUCUACAGCCAACAGAGAAGUUAGUCCAUCCCUCUGGGCCCUGCAGGAUGAGACGCUCCAUGAUUUGGGAUGGGAAUAGGACAGCUCCCGUCACCCCUUGUAUGACAGUGGACACUCAGACUCUUAGGGAAGAUAAAGCUGGGGUGGGGUGGUCAGAGUGGCAGUGGCACACUUUGGACACACAGAGGUGAGAGAAGACGGCACCCCAGGGGAGUCCUGCCUGCAAAGGUGGGGAGGCAGGGCUGGAAAAAUGUUUUCAGAAGAACAGCAAACAAGUGGUUUGCUGUUGGUUCCACUCGGCUGGAACCAAGAGUGGGUCAAGACCCGCUAUGAUUUGAGGCUGGCUAAGUGGUGAAGGUCUGGUCAUGGAGUGGCUUUGAUCUCCAGAAACCAAAGCUCCAGAAGAUGGAAGAAGUGUUCCUGGGAGGGACAUUUGUACCCUCCCCCAAAAUACCAUCAGACCAAGAGCCCCAGUGGAGGAGAGAGACCUGGGAAUUUGGACACUGUUGACUCUGAGGUGUCAAAUAUGAGGCUGGGGGGUUAGGAAGCCCGAGGGCUGCAGUCAUCAUCUUUGAGAUUUGAAGAGCUCUCUGGGGAUCAGGAAUUUGUUCUUUGCAGCCUGAAAACACAGGGCAUGCAGCCCCAGACAGGCAAGUAUCUGCAGGAUAUUAGGAAGAAGUCUUCAACAGUUUGUCCACAGAGAGAUGAGGUGAUUGGAAAGCAGUGAGCUUCCUGUCACCAGACAGGUAUAUGAGCUUAGCAGGGACACUCUAGAACUCAGCAUUAGAGGAGGUUAGACCUCAUGGCUUUUCCCACCACCAGUCUGAGAUGUCACAUGACAGCCCUAAUGGCCCUGGGAUAGUCUUGUGGGGCUGAACACCCCCUGCUGCCUAGAUGUCAGAUUCCCAGCUGGGCAUGACAUCAGUUCUGCCCUGACUUCACACAGGGGCCUCUAGAGACACCCCUUCCCUUUUCCUCCCACUUCCUUCCACCCCUCUGCUGCCUUCUGCCCUUUUCAGAGAGCACCAGGCUUGACCAGAGAGACCUGGAGCCUGGUUGUGAGAUCAGGUCCCCAGGGAACAAUCUGCCCAGCAGGAAUGAGGCAGAGGGGGCCAGCAUCCCUGGAGGCCCUGUUCACACGCCCCACAGAGACUGCAUGGAAAUUCCAGGAGAGUCACAGGGAAGAUUCCAAUUUAGAACAAAAUGCUUUAUUUUUGUCCCCUUUCCUUUCCCCUUACUGGGGGGAAGGGGAGGCUGUCACAGGAGGUUGGGGGAGGAAAGCAAGCAUCCUCGUUGGGCAGAAUCACAGGAGGACCAGUGUGGAGAGAUGGGGGUGCAGGGCAGAGAGGGAAGGGACCCAGAUGGGCCUGGGGAAGUGGACUCCACAUGGGAGAGGGCGACGGGGAGGGCAAAAUCGAGGGGAUAACAAGACCAGCAGGCAUUUCUGGACACUCAAGACCAGAGUUACUUCAGCUCUGGGUUCAAGCUGAGGUCAGAGAAUCAGCCGAGUUUCCCAGAAGAGACAGAUGGUAUCAGGAUCAGUUCUUUUGAGACUCUUGGACACUGGGGCCAGGCCUUAAGGGACUGUAAAGCUACAGAGUACUACUAAAUCCAUCUCAUUCACCCUGGUGAUCCUGGGAGACACUUAGUAAACACUCCUCAUGUUGAAUCCUAAACCCAUAGCAUAAAAGUCCUAUUAGAGCCAACAGGGACCUUUAAGUGCAUCAAAACCAUCUCCUCGUGUUACAGAUGCAGGACCUGAGGUCCACGAUGGAAGGAGACUUGCCUGAGGUCAGACUGCCAGAGUGGCCACCCAGCCCUAUGCAUCUUUCUUUGCCUCUUCCCUGCCUUCUAGCCAGAGAUGGAGACUAUGGUAUGGUCUCCGCACAAGGAGGGAGACAAAGAAAAGGCAGGUGCCCUGCCAGGACAUAACGGUCUCCAGGAGGUAGUCAGAGGAGAGAGUCAUAGCUUCAGUCCUGGGAACUCUGCCCAGGAGGGUGCUUUCCUUGGCCAGACAUGGUCCCCAGAGUUGUCAGCUGCUGCAGAUAGGGGACUCCUACAGAUGAGAGCGCCCAAGGCCGGAGGGGAAGCCCUAGGUUCUGUUUCUGGCUCUGCCCCAACUCACCACAUGACCUGAGAUAGGGUCUUCUCUGACCUCAAUGUGCCUGGUGAGGGGCUGGACCCAACCAGCUUGGAUGGUCAGAGAUUUCAUCCAUGGCCUGCCUCAGUCUCCUGAGUGCCUCCCCCGUCUCUCAAGCCAUCUUAGCUUUUGCUUUGGUACAGAAGUAGGCCAGGCACAGGAGGGAAAAACAGUAGCCUGCAGAUCCCCCUCUGCUGGGAGCAGCAUCCUCUAUGCCCUAGCUUUGCUUUCCAGCCUUGGAAUUCCCGGAGAGGCAAAAACCUGGGGAGGCUCUCCUGACACUCAGACCAGUGCUUUCACUGACCACACCUUCCAGGAUGAUAGGCGCAUGAGCCAAUCUCAUGUGGACCUGGGCAUUGACUCACUUGACACUUAACACUCCCCACACAGGGCGCCCAUACUCUCCCACCCCUCUCUGAGACUUGGUUUCUUCUUCUAUCCAACUGGGAGAUGGGGUGGAACAGAUGUCUCUAGGAGCCCUUGCACUCCAGGACCCCAGGGUGGCCUCCUCAGCUCUUUCUUCACAGAGGGUGGGGCUACCCAGGCCAGGAAACCCCACCAGAUCACAACCUCCAUCCAGCCCAGUCCCACCCCAGACCCCAGGACUGGGUUUCAUCCAGAUCUACAGGCUCCAGCCCAGCUCCCUCGGAGGAUCUGGGUUUUUCUUACCAUAAAAGGGCAAGCUUGCCUCUCUGGGUCCCCACUGCCAGCCCCACUGGGGGAAAGGCGGAACUAUUUUUAGAAAACUCUAGGGUUUGCUCCUGAACUCAAGAUGGAGCCUGUCUGAGCCUGCACCCGGGGAGCCCUCUCCCAUCUCCCUUGCGCACCUGCCCUCUGUCUUCCUCCCUCUUCACCCGUUGCUGUCUCUUCCCUCACUCCUCCUCUCUCUGCCUCUGUCUUGCUCUCUCUCACUCCAUCAAUCUGUCUUCCCUUUCCCUCUCCCUCUCCUCCUCUCUUCCUUCCCCUUCAAUUCUCCCUUCUCCCCAGAUCUCCUCUCAGCCAGCUCCCCUUCCCCCUGCCCCUCAUCCCUCCCGCAGAUCCUGUUUUUGGUGGUUGGAGAGAGUAACACAUCUGCACCCCCACACCCUUCUUAAACACUAUUUACAACAUAAAUUCCAAACAUCCGCCAUCUGGUUCUAGAAAGGGCCAAAAGAUAUUUAGAAAAGGAAGUCAUGAUUAUUCCAUCUUCAAAGCCAAAGGAACAUAAAGGCCCUCCUCUCUCCCGCCUCCCUUCCAGGGCCCCUUUGUUAAGAUCUGACGGAUUAGGAUUCUUCAGCGAGUGGAAGGGGUCCCAACUGGGCCUCUGAUGGGCUGCAUCACUUUAAGCUUGUUAUUUCUCUCCACACCUCAGUUUCCUCAUCUGAACAGUGGGAACACGACUAAUGCUCUGAGACUUCAUGUCCUAGCGCAGGAAACCCUGAGGCCCAUGUCCCUGGGGCCCACCCUGGGCUGAGCAGCGAGGGUGACUCUCCCCUUGCAGCCCUGUGCCUUUCACCCCAACGAGAUCUAUGCAUUCCUUCAUGGUGGGGGCAGGAGCGGAACCAAGCCAUCUCCCUUUUUGUGACCCCAGGAGGACUCUGGAUUCCACAGAGUCCAGUCCCUUCCCUACAUCAUAGUGAGGUCCAGAGAGGGGAAGGCACUCAUCUACAAUCACACAACAUGCCUACAGGAGACCCAGUACCUAACCUGCUGCUCUUCCCUUCAAAAACCUUCCAGAAGAAACCAACCUUUGUAUUACCCAGAAAACAUCACUGAGCCCAGCAAACUGGAACCCUAGAGGUCUCAGUUCUUUGCAAAGUAGACAGGAGAGAAAGAACUAACUCCUUUAUCAUGGAAUUUUCUUCAAAUAGACCACAUACAAGGGAGAAAUGCUGUGGGAAGUCCCCUGUUUCCAGAGACACACAUUUGCCAGUGCUGACAGAGCCUUCACUUAACUGAAAAUGUGCUCUCUGCUCACAGCCCCCUUUCCAUAAGGAUGCUUUCCAUAAUACACAUUUGACGGCAUGUCCUAAGACACUGACUCAUGACUCAGGCUGUCUCCAUGAAUAGUCUGGUCUUACAGGGGAGCCUGAAAAACACAAGCUAGACGGCAACCCUGAUUCUGACGCCUACUAACCGUGUGACCUCAAGGGACUCCUGUAACUCGUGAAAGCCUGUUUCCUCAUCUACAAAACAGGAUAAGAAUGGUACCUGACUCAUAAGCAAUGGUGAGGAUGAGAAAAACCUGUGUAAAAUAAAGCCCUUAGCAAGUGUGGAGUGCAUCGAAGACACCCAGUGGGCCACCUGUAACAUGUACUGGCCAUUGUUAAGAUUAUGGCAUGUCCCAGUGUGGUAGGUGGGGGGUGGCUGUCACCGCUGUCACUGUUCUCCCAGUCUGGCCACACUGAAAAGUCAGGGUGAUGGGGAGUCUCAGGGACCCUGGUCUCUACCCCCAGCCUCCCAGAGCCCAAGCUACUCAAGGCUGGGUUUGGGAUUGUAGGCCAUGGGGCUGGGCUCCUUUCUUUCCCUCUCUUCCCUUUCUCCUGCAUCGUCUUGUGUUAGCCUCAGACUGCAUUCCCAGGCCUUGCUCAAAAGUCCCAGGCAGCAACCUUCCCUGGGGAGGAAGUGGGGAGCGUGUGAGGCUGGUGAACUCAGCGGGGCUGUCAGGGGGUGGGAGGGCGCUCUGGGAACACAGGCCCAGAGAAGCCACACAGUGGAGGGGACACGGGAAGGGGCCCUACACGGCAGCUCCCACAUCUCGAGAUGCCGCGCUGGACCUUUGCCCUCAUCCUUCCUGCUCUCUUGCUCCCGUGGUUGUGUCUCACUGCCGGCUCAUAAUGGAAGCUGCCGCUGCUCAUUGUGGGCUUACAAUGUGCCAGCAACCGCACUUGCACUUGACAUCCACCUCAUUUGACCUUCACAAACAAGCCAAAGUCCAGAGAGGCAAAGCCACCAGCUCGAGAUCACAUAGCUAGAAAGUGCUUUGGGUGAGAAUGCAAACAGAGGUCUGCCGGGCUCCAGGGCUAGCGUCUUCUCAAUUCUCCCCAGACAUAUGCCGGAAACCCUAGGGCCCUGGAACCCAAGGAGAACACAGGCCGGAGGACUUGUACCUGGGUGAGGGAGCCGAGGAAGGGGAGUUGUGGGUAAAGAAGCCCAUCCAGAAAAAACUGGCGUGGGGUGGUGGGGGUGUAUUCACAUGGGGCCCCAACCUCAGCCAUCUCCCAGGGUAGUGCCAUCUGGCUUGCAGAUGUGGCCUAUUCCCAGCCCCUCGGACUUCUUGGAAAUGAGCAAGACCAGGAGAAGGCACAGGGCCUUUAUGCAACAUCUAUGACGACGUGAGCUCUGUCUUGUGGUCAUCCAGCCGACUGUGGCCCAAGCUCAGGGGACAGCUGGGUUGAGAGUGAGCAGCCCAGGGGUCAAGCUGACCUCUGAUACUCACCAGGCGUUGACCUGAGUACACUGCAGAGCCUCUUGGAGCCUCAGUAAGCAAGGAAGUCACUCCUAUCUCUGGCAGGGGUUUUGAGCAUUUCCGAAGCUAUGGGAGGGAGCAUUUUGCAGGCUGCAAGCCUUGUGCAGCUGGAAGUGGUCACAGGUAGCCCCAGGGCUGUCCCUUCAGUCUUGGCUACUAUGUUAACGACAACUUGCCAUCUACCCCUAAAUGGCUCCUUAUCCCUGGGUGAGUCUAGAGGUGGGGGCAUUGGUUCACUGGGGCCUCUGAGAAAUUUCCUUCCAAAUCCACACUUCUGCCAAUGGAGUCUUGGUGCUCUGAAAAGGGUAGGCAGCCCCUCUUGCUCUUGGAGCCUAGAGCUCCUCAGAACAGCCCCUUUGAAAGCCGGGCAAGCAUUGCAGAAAAUGGCAGCCUAGGGGCAGAAGGUGGAAAAGGCAAGGGCACCCACUCCAGUACUCUUGCCUGGAAAAUCCCAUGGACAGAGGAGCCUGGUGGGCUGCAGUCCAUGGGGUCGAUAAGAGUUGGACACAACUAGGUGACUUCACUUUCACUUUUCACUUUCAUGCAUCGGAGAAGAAAAUGGCAACCCACUCCAGUGUUCUUGCCUGGAGAAUCCCAGGGACUGCAGAGCCUGGUGGGCUACACAGGGGUAGCCCACAGAGUUGGACACGACUGAAGCGACUUAGCAGCAGCAGCAGCAGCAGGGGCGGAAGAACAGACGCCUCGAGGCCUGGAAAAUCCCCGCAGACUCGGCCUGAGGCUUCUAAGGACCCAGCAGCAGCCCAGGCUCAUCCUCAAUCCCUCGGAGCCCAGCAGCCUGGUCAGGACCCACAGGCACCCCAACAUUCUCUGAUGGGGGCAUCCUUGUUCCUUUCAGGCAAGGGCACUGGCUGGUGGGAGCCACCCCUUUUCAACCCUCACACUGACAGAGCAAACACCCCAGACAAGGGCCUCCUGAGGACCCGAGGAGGGCAGGCAGCGGGUUCCCUGGACACAGAACUCCUCCCCAGAGCUUCCCGACAGAAGACACAGGCUGCCCCCCGGGGCCAAGCGACAUUUCCUGAAGACACUGGGGAACAGUGAAGAGAAAACAGUCCGUCCUCCAGGAGUAGAAGGAUGUUGACAGCCAGCACCAGGGUGGACUCCCUGCCUUCGGCCCCUGGUGCAGAGCGGUGUGGCGUCCUGUCUCCCAGCCUGAGGUGCAGUGCUGCAUCUCUGGUCAGUUGGGAGUCUGAGAUGAAGCACUGUAGCUCGGGAAGGGAGAAGUUGUUCUACAGCCGUCGCCAGAAGUGGUAAGUGGUAUGGUGCCUGCAGGCACCAGGAAGGACGGGAGUGUUUCCAUUCUCCAGAAUGUCCGCUGAGGAAGCACUGGACUUGAGUCCUAUCUGUGCCACUAUCUGCUUCAUGUUUCUGGGCAAGUCCUGACUCCUCUGUGCACCGCAGUUUGUUCAUGUGUAAUAUGAGAUUUUGGAGCAUUUGGUGGUGGCCAUUACCCAGUACCCUGACUCUGCUUUCUCCUGAGCCCAUGGCAGACAUGGCUAAUCAGUCAAGGCAUCCUUUCCUAAAGCAUUCAGAUGCGGCUUCAGAAUCCUUCUUAAUGCUAAGUCCUAGAGAGCUGCUAUUGAUUCAAAGCUGAAACACUUCAUCAUUUGUGAACUGGUCAAUUCCUAAAAAAUCUUUCAGACUAAAGACAAAGUCCUGGGCUCUGAGUCCAGCUCUUUACUCUUUGAGGUGUUGCCUAAAAUAAUCCAGGCAUCUCUCAAAUAUCUGAUCCCUCUCAGGGGCUUCAGACUAGUCAGAAAUAGCAGAGGAAAACCACUGGGCUAAGCACAAUUUAUUUAACCUUCCUACAAGCUUGGGAGGUGGAUUUUAUUGACACAUUUUCCAGAUGAGGAAACCAAGGCUCAGGUAAGCAACCUGCCCAAGGUCACACAUAAAUUAUGUUGAGCUAGGCUUGGAACCUAAUCUGUCUGCCUUCAGAUUCAUGUUCUUACCCACUGCAUGUGACUUGGGAACCUGGGAUUAGGGGAGCAGGAGGAGAACAUAAUAAAUCCUAUUCUAGUCUUGUCCUUACAUCCUGGGUCACUUUUAGCAAAGACAGACUGAGACAUUUUCCAGUAAUCCUAUAGACUUCCUUCCUCUUCUUCCUGCCCCCCACCACUGUAUUUAUCUCACCUUUCAAGUAGGUCCUAUACCAUCCCAUUUUAUAAUUGGGGAAGACUGAGGUUAAGUGAGUUGCUGGAGGUCACCGGUAAGGAAGGUGCCAAACAGAGACUGGGAACCAGAACUGUCCAGGUGGUUUCGAGUAGAACCCUCCCUCUGGCUGGAGACUCAGGAACACACAAUCCAUGGCAACUGAACCAGGGGGUGGGGUGUUACUAGAUGAUUUCUGGUCGACAACAUGGCCUCUGACUACAGGAAGGUACUUUCCAGGGACACUGAAGUUCCAGUCACUACCCCCUCCCCUGAAGCAAUCAUCCACAUCCCGCCAGACAUGGUGGCCACACUGGCUUCUGCAGAUGGGGCUGGAUGCAGAAGAAAACUCCAGUUGGUCCUUAGAGAUAUGGCAGGGCCUGGGUGCUGAAGGCCACUCUCUCACCUUGUCCUCACGGUCCAGUUUUCCCAGGAAUCCCUUAGAUGCUAAGAUGGGGAUUCCUGGAAAUACUGUUCUUGAGGUCAUGGUUUAACAGCUGGAUUCGCCUCCUUCCCACCCCAAGUUGCCCCCACGGGACUUGGGCUCAAGCACGGCAUGAGGUCACGUGGAAAGCCAUGCACUGGAGGUAAGAGGACUUGAGGACUGCGUUCUUGACCUUUAAAUUGCUUUUCUUUCCAUUUUGUCCAUUUCGCAACAUCCUGUGAGGCUGGAAUGGGAGCUUCACCUCUGUCCUACUCUUGGGAAAUUUGUCCAGACACUCAGUUGAGCAGUGGUUGAACCAGGACACCAUAAAGCUUGUGUCUCUUUCCACCUCCCCCAACCCCCAUCCCACUUCCCAGCAUGCCAAGCAGUGGUGGGGGUGGGGUCACAAUAUCAAAUCCACAUUAGUGAUAAAUAAAUAUAUGUGAAUUUAUUUUAAAAGUUCACUAGAUCAGUUAACGUAAACUAAAAAUCUGUAAGUUUUAGUUCGAUUUGGAAUACCACAGAAAAAGUUUGUAAUUUUUCAUCAAGGUAGAGAAGACAAAAAAGCUCAGACUGCCCUCUUGUGGUGACGCCUGCCACAACCCUGGAGAACCAGGAACACUGGGCUGUCCUACACACACACAUACACACACACACAGACUCCUUUUGAACCAGCUUAAGUCACACACACUCUCUCUCUCACACACACAAACACACAUACACAGAGACUACUUUUGAACCAGCUUAAGACCCAUCCAUCAUUUCAUUACCAAUGAUGUCUCCAUCAUUUAGUUUAACUCACAUUACCUGGCUUUGUCCUCAAAACUCCUGAAGGUCAGUGAGAUGGUGAAGUUCAGAGAGGUGAAGUGACCAGCCCCUGGUCACCCAGAUAACAUUAGGCAGAGCCAGGAUCUGUUCCGAGUUCAGUGACUCAGCCAAAAGUAAAAACUACAAACAUAAAAAAUAAAAGGAAGACAUCUGAAUAGAUGCAGAAAAUGCUGGCUGAAUACCAGAGGCCUGAUGUGGUCCAGGGGCAAUCCUAGAACUUUUCACAAAACCUUCUCAGUGCUUUUUAUGGAGUUUGUAGAGACAAGAGGUGCCAUGACCCCAGGGUCCUUCCUUUGGGGUCUAGUAGCCAUGUUCCUAGGGACCAGGUGGCUCCCACUUAUGUAUCAGGCUGUCUCUCUUAACAGGCCAGGCUGCAGACAAUUUACAAAGUAUCAGAUUCCCGUCCCUCUCCUCCUCAGAGACUGGAGCUGGUCUGACCAUGAAGAAAUCUGAUUUGCUCCAAAUGAUAAUAAUAGCUUCCACUUACUGAGUAUUUGCAACUUACCAGGCACUGUGUUAAACAUUUUCACAAGCAUUGUCCCAUUCAAUCCUCACAACAACUCAGUGAGAUAGGUUCUAUCACUUAUUCCACUUCACAGAUGAGGCAGCCAAGACACAGAGACGUUAAGAGACUUGUCGAAGAUCACACAGCUGACAGUUGUAAGACUGAGUCAAAUCAAGUCUGUGUUUAUACCUGUCACCUGCCCUUGCCCCCUCUCUACCAUUUGGCCUGGUCUGGCUGGUAGAGCUGUCUCCUGUGGCUUCCCCUGGGACAGAUGGUAAAAUAAAUCUUCAGUGAGACCCAAGCGGUCCCUCCUGUGUUCCGUGACUACAAUAAAGUGUGAGACCCUUGACUUGUGUCCGUGUCUUUUUGGGGAACAUGAGAGGAGGAGAGGGGAGGUGAAGGCAGCCUAACAGCCUGUAUUAGUUCACGAGGGCAUCCGUAACAAAGUGCGACAGCCUGGGUGGCUUAAGCAAUAGAAUGUUACUUUAUCACAGAGUCUGGAUGUCUAAGAGCAAGGUGUCAGCAGGGCUGGCUUCCUCCGAGGCCUCUCUGUCUUGUAGACAGCUGUGUUCUCCUGUGUCUUCAGUCAGUACACGUCAGUGUCUUAAUCUCUUCAGACAAGGACACCAGUCCUGUUGGAUUAGGGCCCACCUACAGGUCUCAUUUAACAUAAAUUAUUUCUUUAAAGACCUACCGCCAAAUAAAGUCAGAGUCUAGGUACUGGGGUUUAAGACGUUCAUCAUGAACAUAGUUGGGGGACACAAUCCAGCCCACAGCACAGCCCCAGUUGAGGUAACCCUAAGGUGACUUCACACUGCUGGACAUUUCCAGGGGCCAGCUACACAGCAACCAGGACCCACACCAGGAUAGUCAGAAGCUCCAGGAAGGUGCCAGGCGGUGUCUGAGAACACCCACCAAGGGAAGGGGGAACGUCCCCCAAGGUGAGGUCCCCUCGGGCGGGGGCCAAGGCGCAGGCUGAGGAGCCUGGCCACGCGGCAGCCUCUCCCCUUCAGUCCCAAAGGUGUGACUGACCAGGUGGAGGAGGCGAGACAAACUCUGAAAUCACACCUCACACGGUGCCAGGAAUCAGAGUGAAUGCAAUAUCAGCUGCACCACAGGCAUCAUCCCAACUGUGCAGACAUGUUAAACACACUUCUCUUCCUUUGGGGCUGACCCUCCAAACUCCGAUAAAUUCUGAGGGGGAGAAAAAAUCAACAUGACUUCCUACCUGCUGAUUCCCAGAUGCCCAGGGCCUCCCCUCAAUGCUCCUUUGAGCCGCAAAACAAGGCCUGCAUGCCUGCGCCGCACUGCAGAGGAGCCCAAGGUCCCACAAGGCCCAGGGGAGCAGCUGGGGAGCCACAGGGAUGAGGAAGAGGCAGGAUGGAGAGCUCCCCCGCCACCACCCAGCCGUCCACCACACCCCACGCCCCGACGACACACCCUGUUCUUGUUCAGCUUUGGAGCGUCAGUCACUGGGGCCUCCUCCAAACUCACGGGCCUGGUCCUGCUGAAGUCCUUCUAGAACUUUCCCUCACACCCCUGGGGCAUUAUCGGUAAGACGCAGCUUUCUGACUCCCACAGGCAGGUUCUGCUCUGUGGUUUGAGAUUUCCCCGGAGUGG